rnacentral:misc_RNA from 1 species
GAUGAAGAACGUAGCGAAAUGCGAUAAGUAAUGUGAAUUGCUGAAUUCAGUGAAUCAUCGAAUCUUUGAACGCACAUUGCGCCCGCCAGUAUUCUGGCGAGCAUGCCUGUUCGAGCGUCAUUUCAACCAUCAAGCCCCAGGCUUGUGUUGGAGCCCUGCGGCUGCCGCAGCCUCCCAAAACCAGUGGCGGGCUCGCUAUCACACCGAGUGCAGUAGUUUACUCUUCGCUCAGGGCGUGUGGCGGGUGCUAGCCGUGAAACCCCCAACUUCUCAAGGUUGACCUCGGAUCAGGUAGGAAUACCCGCUGAACUUAAGCAUAUCAAUAAGCGGAGGA